GAUGAACGCUGGCGGCGUGCCUAAUACAUGCAAGUCGAGCGAACAGAUGAGGAGCUUGCUCCUCUGACGUUAGCGGCGGACGGGUGAGUAACACGUGGAUAACCUACCUAUAAGACUGGGAUAACUUCGGGAAACCGGAGCUAAUACCGGAUAAUAUAUUGAACCGCAUGGUUCAAUAGUGAAAGACGGUUUUGCUGUCACUUAUAGAUGGAUCCGCGCCGCAUUAGCUAGUUGGUAAGGUAACGGCUUACCAAGGCAACGAUGCGUAGCCGACCUGAGAGGGUGAUCGGCCACACUGGAACUGAGACACGGUCCAGACUCCUACGGGAGGCAGCAGUAGGGAAUCUUCCGCAAUGGGCGAAAGCCUGACGGAGCAACGCCGCGUGAGUGAUGAAGGUCUUCGGAUCGUAAAACUCUGUUAUUGGGGAAGAACAAAUGUGUAAGUAACUAUGCACGUCCUGACGGUACCUAAUCAGAAAGCCACGGCUAACUACGUG
rnacentral:rRNA from 1 species